AGUUUGAUCAUGGCUCAGGACGAACGCUGGCGGCGUGCUUAACACAUGCAAGUCGAACGGAAAGGCCCUUCGGGGUACUCGAGUGGCGAACGGGUGAGUAACACGUGGGUGAUCUGCCCUGCACUCUGGGAUAAGCCUGGGAAACUGGGUCUAAUACCGGAUAGGACCACACACUUCAUGGUGAGUGGUGCAAAGCUUUUGCGGUGUGGGAUGAGCCCGCGGCCUAUCAGCUUGUUGGUGGGGUAAUGGCCCACCAAGGCGACGACGGGUAGCCGGCCUGAGAGGGUGACCGGCCACACUGGGACUGAGAUACGGCCCAGGCUCCUACGGGAGGCAGCAGUGGGGAAUAUUGCACAAUGGGCGCAAGCCUGAUGCAGCGACGCCGCGUGAGGGAUGACGGCCUUCGGGUUGUAAACCUCUUUCAGUAGGGACGAAGCGAAAGUGACGGUACCUACAGAAGAAGGACCGGCCAACUACGUGCCAGCAGCCGCGGUAAUACGUAGGGUCCGAGCGUUGUCCGGAAUUACUGGGCGUAAAGAGCUCGUAGGUGGUUUGUCGCGUUGUUCGUGAAAACUCACAGCUUAACUGUGGGCGUGCGGGCGAUACGGGCAGACUAGAGUACUGCAGGGGAGACUGGAAUUCCUGGUGUAGCGGUGGAAUGCGCAGAUAUCAGGAGGAACACCGGUGGCGAAGGCGGGUCUCUGGGCAGUAACUGACGCUGAGGAGCGAAAGCGUGGGUAGCGAACAGGAUUAGAUACCCUGGUAGUCCACGCCGUAAACGGUGGGUACUAGGUGUGGGUUUCCUUCCUUGGGAUCCGUGCCGUAGCUAACGCAUUAAGUACCCCGCCUGGGGAGUACGGUCGCAAGACUAAAACUCAAAGGAAUUGACGGGGGCCCGCACAAGCGGCGGAGCAUGUGGAUUAAUUCGAUGCAACGCGAAGAACCUUACCUGGGUUUGACAUGCGCAGGACGUAUCUAGAGAUAGGUAUUCCCUUGUGGCCUGCGUGCAGGUGGUGCAUGGCUGUCGUCAGCUCGUGUCGUGAGAUGUUGGGUUAAGUCCCGCAACGAGCGCAACCCUUGUCCUAUGUUGCCAGCGGGUAAUGCCGGGGACUCGUAGGAGACUGCCGGGGUCAACUCGGAGGAAGGUGGGGAUGACGUCAAGUCAUCAUGCCCCUUAUGUCCAGGGCUUCACACAUGCUACAAUGGCCAGUACAGAGGGCUGCGAAGCCGCAAGGUGGAGCGAAUCCCUUAAAGCUGGUCUCAGUUCGGAUUGGGGUCUGCAACUCGACCCCAUGAAGUCGGAGUCGCUAGUAAUCGCAGAUCAGCAACGCUGCGGUGAAUACGUUCCCGGGCCUUGUACACACCGCCCGUCACGUCAUGAAAGUCGGUAACACCCGAAGCCAGUGGCCUAACCUUUUGGAGGGAGCUGUCGAAGGUGGGAUCGGCGAUUGGGACGAAGUCGUAACAAGGUAACCGUA
rnacentral:rRNA from 1 species